rnacentral:rRNA from 1 species
UACGUAGGGACCGAGCGUUGUCCGGAAUCACUGGGCGUAAAGCGCACGUAGGCGGCUUCUUAAGUCAGGGGUGAAAUCCUGGAGCUCAACUCCAGAACUGCCUUUGAUACUGAGAAGCUUGAGUCCGGGAGAGGUGAGUGGAACUGCGAGUGUAGAGGUGAAAUUCGUAGAUAUUCGCAAGAACACCAGUGGCGAAGGCGGCUCACUGGCCCGGUACUGACGCUGAGGUGCGAAAGCGUGGGGAGCAAACAGG